rnacentral:lncRNA from 1 species
UUACGAGGGGUGGAGCAGCGUCCGUUGUCGUGACUUGCCAGCGGAUGGAAAAAUCACCCGGUAUCCGUCGCAGGAGGUGGAGCAGGUUCGUGGCCGUUAUCGUGGCCUGCCAGGGAGUAGUGGAGCUGUGCGAAAUCCACCACAGGAAGUGGAGCAGAGCUGCGAUGGUUACUGCGGCCUGUCAGGGAAUGAUGGGGCUGCGCG